UCUGACCAUCCACGACGUGACCAUCACUGAUCAGGGGACCUACAAGUGUUUGGUCAUCUACACUCCAGACCGGAAACAAAGGGAGAUCAGGCUGGAUGUUCGUGCUAAACCAGAGGUCAGGAUACAAAGAAAAGCUCUUUGUAAGGAUGAG